rnacentral:rRNA from 1 species
CGUCAAAUCAUCAUGCCCCUUAUGUUCUGGGCUACACACGUGUUACAAUGGCUAGUACAACGAGCAGCCAACUCGCGAGAGUGAGCAAAUCUCUUAAACCUAGUCUCAGUUCGGAUUGCACUCUGCAACUCGAGUGCAUGAAGUCGGAAUCGCUAGUAAACGCAGAUCAGCACGCUGCGUUGAAUACGUUCCCGGGUCUU